UACGGGGGGGGCAAGCGUUGUUCGGAAUUACUGGGCGUAAAGGGCUCGUAGGCGGCCAACUAAGUCAGACGUGAAAUCCCUCGGCUUAACCGGGGAACUGCAUCUGAUACUGGAUGGCUUGAGAUUGGGAGAGGGAUGCGGAAUUUCAGGUGUAGCGGUGAAAUGCGUAGAUAUCUGGAGGAACACCGGUGGCGAAGGCGGCAUCCUGGACCAACACUGACGCUGAGGAGCGAAAGCCAGGGGAGCAAACGGG
rnacentral:rRNA from 1 species